CAAACAGUCCCAGGUUAAAUUAAAUUAGUUUGAUUAUAUGUUAAUCUAUCUUUAAUUUUGUAUUUAUGUAUUUAUUAAUUCAUAUUUGGGACCUAUUACACAUUUACAAUUCACAACUUAAAUCCCACCGUUCUCUAGGCCCAUUGUAUAUAUGUAUUUGUAUUUAUUCAGAUUUCGAACCCAUUGCACAUUACCAUUAACUCCUUAACCAACCAUUUUUGUUUUAUUACCCUUAUCACUGCCAAUCUUAUUUUGUUAACUACUUGUUCGUUUACCUCAGCCCCACACCCCCUCAACCAAUAGCAUCAAAGCAUUUAUACUACCUCACCCCAUCUCUCCUACCCUGUUUUCUACGGUCCGGCCUGCUUUCACCUCCUAACCGUCGUACAGCGACAUCAUUGUUGAAACUGUCGUCAUGGCUGCAUCUAGUGCAUCAAAUUCGCGCUCGUCCGAGCCCAUCAGUAGGGAGACUCUGCCAGCUGCAUGUAACAAUUGUAACUUAAGUUACAAAGAAUUCUCUGCCUAUUACUCAGGCAAUUAUGACCGGCUCAUCAAGUUAUGUCAGGACCACGCCCUCCUGAGAAAGCAGGUCUUUUGCCCCCAUUGUGGGAACGAGUGCCGUUUAGAUUUGCAGAGGAAGAGCUUCAGGUAAAUUCCUUACAUCAUGUUUGUUGGUUUCUACGUGUAACCGUAAUAUGUUUCACCCCUAGAUUAGUGUAAAUAUUAGAUUUCAUCUAUACCAUUUAUGGCCUACUCCAUAUUUUCAUGUUUUGAGGUUUUUAAUUGGUAUUUUUCUUUCCACAUUUUCUCUUAGGUGUGACCAGUCUUAUAGGCCUUACAGUCAGAAGGCGAAGAAGCGUUGUUCGUACUUCUUCUCAUCAUUUAAUGGCACUUGGUUUUCUGGGUCCCAUCUUGAUGUCGAGACCGUUCCGUUCUUUGCAUACCUGUAUGCGAGUGAUUUUUUUCUUACAAGGUUGCGAGAACAGAACUUGGACUGUCGGACACAACCAUUAAUGAUUGGGCCAGCUUCUCCCGGGAAGUCAUAGUUAAUUGGUGCAUCCAACAGAAGAAACAAAUUGGUGGGCCCGGUACAACUGUUGAAAUCGAUGAGGCGAAAUUCGGAAGGCGGAAAUACAACGCAGGUCGCGUCAUCGAAGGACAGUGGGCGUUCGGUGGUAUCUGUAGGCAGACCCAAGAGUUCUUCGUUGUUCCUGUUCCCGAUAGGACUAGUGGGACUCUGCUUGCAGUUAUCAAAGUAUACAUUGUCCCGGGGACCACUAUUAUUUCAGACUGUUGGAGGGCUUAUGACUGCCUGGGAGACGAAGGGUACGUCCAUUUGACAGUCAACCACUCGAUCAACAUUGUGGACUCAGUAACCGGUGCCCAUACUAAUACAAUAGAGAGGAGGUGGAGGGAACUCCGGGAGUCGACUCCGAGAUACUGGCGGCGUAUGUACAACUUCGUCGGGUACUUGGCUGUCGCGUAUUUCAAGUUACAUUUUCAAGACCCCAAGACCCGACUCCAUGCCUUCAUAAAGCAGCUGCUGCUUUCUACCCUCUACCCCUUUAAGAUACAGAUGUGGCACAUCGGGCAACUGGUCCAGUGUCGAGAGUUCUUGUUCAAAAUUGGUUGAAGUAUGUUCAAAAUGAAGAUGAAUAACAGACUUAGUGACUGCAUUGCAGUCUUCCGUAAGGGUAUUUGGAUGAAGCUACCGUUGUGUAAUAGUUGGAUGGAAAGGAAAUUGCCUGGGAAUUUUUUAAGGUCAGCUGAAAGACUGAUGAGAAAUUUAUAGAUUACUGAGUGGGAUUGUGAACAGUAUGGCAAGAGCAGCCACUUAGAACCUGCCUUGCAGCUGCCAGUUCCAAUGAGAGGCAGUAAAUGUAUUCACUGACUGUUGGUGAAUGAUGUGGAAACGUGCUAUUGCUGCAGGAGUCUAUUUGAGGAGGGCCAGCUGCUACUGGAACCUCUGCCAGGCAACAUAAUGUUUAGACUGCAACGGGAGUCUGAGAAAGUAUCUUGUUACGGGAGUCCCUUCCUGCCAGGGUUUUAGGUAUGAAUGCUACACCGCAGGUGGAGUCGCUGUUAAGAAGGCCACUUGACAUUAAGAGUGGUGUGCUUGCCAGGGUCAUUAUCUGAAACCCAUUGCUGCAAAAGCUCUCUCUGAAAAAUAUUGAAGACCUCUCCUCCCUGGGAUUAAGUUAUGAAUGCUGCUACUUAAGGUGUUUUUGAGAAAGGCCAGGCUAGCUGUGAUAUUGGAGUUACAAUUACUUCUCGCUGUUAUGGGAGUUAAGACUAUUAAUGCCCGAUGUGAUUAGUUAUUUAAACUACUGCCCACUGUGAUAAGCUAUGAUUGACUAGUACUGUCAGUUUUAAUAUUGAAUUAGUAUUGCCGACUGGAUUAACAAAAUAACACAUCUGGCAAUAGUAUAUAUUUCUAGUACCAUAGCAGCAGAUUCUGGUAGUGAGGAAGGGCAGUGGAGGGACUUUCAAAAGUGCAAGAAGGAGAUUAAGGCAACAUAUUGAUGCAAGAUUUUUUAAUGGUAACAAUGAAGGGUUUAUUUCAAGCAUGUCCUUUUUU